rnacentral:rRNA from 1 species
CAGCAGCCGCGGGAAUACAGAGGGUGCAAGCGUUAAUCGGAAUUACUGGGCGUAAAGCGCGCGUAGGUGGUUUGUUAAGUUGGAUGUGAAAUCCCCGGGCUCAACCUGGGAACUGCAUUCAAAACUGACUGACUAGAGUAUGGUAGAGGGUGGUGGAAUUUCCUGUGUAGCGGUGAAAUGCGUAGAUAUAGGAAGGAACACCAGUGGCGAAGGCGACCACCUGGACUAAUACUGACACUGAGGUGCGAAAGCGUGGGGAGCAAACAGGAUUAGAUACCCCCGUAGUCCCUGUCUCUUAUAC